rnacentral:rRNA from 1 species
AAUGAACGUUGGCGGCAUGGAUUAGGCAUGCAAGUCGAGCGUGAAGGGUUUUGAAGCUUGCUUUGAAACCCGGAAAGCGGCGCAAGGGAGAGUAACGAGUAGUUAUCUACCCCAAGGCCCGGAAUAGCUGCGGGAAACUGCAGGUAAUGCCGGAUAAUAUCCCCGGAUCAAAGGUGUUCUUCCGCCUUGGGCGGAGACUGCUUUGUACUAGCUAGUUGGUAGGGUAAUGGCCUACCAAGGCUACGAUGCAUAGCGGGCGUAAGAGCGUGGCCCGUCUCACUGGGACUGAAACACUGCCCAGACACCUACGGGUGGCUGCAGUCGAGAAUCUUCGGCAAUGGGCGAAAGCCUGACCGAGCGAUGCCGCGUGCGGGAUGAAGGCCCUCGGGUUGUAAACCGCUGUCGUAGAGGAGAAAGGUCUGAUGAAGAAUCAGAUUUGAUCUAUUCUAGGAGGAAGUCCGGGCUAAGUUCGUGC